UGAAGCGUGGGCAUUCGCCCCUCCACCACACCCCCGAAAGUCUACCCUCUGGCAUCCAGCUGCGGGGACACGUCCAGCUCCACCGUGACCCUGGGCUGCCUGGUCUCCAGCUAUAUGCCCGAGCCGGUGACCGUGACCUGGAACUCGGGUGCCCUGACCAGCGGCGUGCGCACCUUCCCAGCCGUCCUGCAGUCCUCCGGGCUCUACUCUCUCAGCAGCGUGGUGACCGUGCCGGCCAGCACCUCAGGAGCCCAGACCUUCAUCUGCAACGUAGCCCACCCGGCCAGCAGUACCAAGGUGGACAAGCCUGUCACUGCAAGGCCUCAGGUCCCGAAGACAACGCCAGGGUCACCUAUCCGUCCUGUAAGACCCACGACCAAGGAGCCCAAAGGUGAACAGGAACCCUGCCAGUGUCCCAAGUGCCCAGCCACAGAACCUCUGGGAGGACUGUCUGUCUUCAUCUUCCCCCCGAAACCCAAGGACACCCUUACAAUCUCUGGAACGCCUGAGGUCACGUGUGUGGUGGUGGACGUGGGCCAGGACGACCCCGAGGUGCAGUUCUCCUGGUUCAUGGACAACGUGGAGGUGCACACGGCCAGGACAACGCCGAGGGAGGAGCAGUUCAACAGCACCUUCCGCGUGGUCAGCGCCCUGCCCAUCCAGCACAAAGACUGGCUGCAGGGAAAGGAGUUCAAGUGCAAGGUCCACAACGAAGGCCUCCCGGCCCCCAUCAUAAGGACCAUCUCCAGGGCCAAAGGGCAGGCCCGGGAGCCGCAGGUGUACGUCCUGGCCCCACCCCGGGAAGAGCUCAGCAAAAGCACGCUCAGCGUCACCUGCCUCAUCACCGGUUUCUACCCAGAAGAGGUAGACGUGGAGUGGCAGAGAGAUGGGCAGCCUGAGUCGGAGGACAAAUACCACACAGCCCCACCCCAGCUGGACGCCGACGGCUCCUACUUCCUGUACAGCAGGCUCAGGGUGAACAAGAGCAGCUGGCAGGAAGGAGACACCUACACGUGUGCGGUGAUGCAUGAAGCUCUACGGAAUCACUACAAAGAGAAGUCCAUCUCUAAGUCUCCGGGUAAAUGAGCCACACGCCGCUGACCUAGUGAACGUUCCCUCAUCCACCCGCCCCUCCCCGCCAACCCCGAGCUCCAGGUCCAGCCCCCGCACCAGCAAGCCCUCCCCCAGCCCGCCCUCCCCGGGCUCCAGGUCCAGCCAGGACGCCCUAGCCCCUCCCUCUGUGCAUGCCUCCUGGGCCGCCAUGAAUAAAGCGCCCAGGCCGCCCUGGGACCCUGCAA